UACGGUGCCGCAUUCGUGCGACGACUUAUGCUGUGCCAUGGAGCUCGAGGUCUGCUCUUAUCCAACUGCGGUUACAAUGGAAUAAACAUAUCUUUAACAAACCAGAGAACAGUUGAAAAGUUUCUGCAAUACUUGCGAAGGCAGAUACUCCUUCUAAACAUAAGGAUCGACUAUGCGGAGAACAUUGUCGUGCUUUCUCGUUAACUUUAAGGGUGCCGAUCUCGUGUUCGAUAUUUAAGAAACGGGUUUCGUUACAGCGCAGACACGGCUACCUGCAACAUUUUCUAUAUUCUUCUACUUUCAUUCGUUCGAUACAAUAUGGAGCUCGAGCCUUAAUAAAUGAAUUUAAUCGACCGGAAUUCACUUAAUUGGACGCUGGAUACACGAGGAGACGUAGGAUACAAACGAGGACGAGCGAGGUUUCACAUCCUUGUACGAACCAAAUGGCUGAUUACUUUUAAAAAGGAGCAGUCAUUCGGCAGCAUGCCAGCAUCUACCAUUACCGAUGCUCGUGAUUUUAUCGAGAACGUCUAGCACAAUGUUGUACCGUGAACGAUCUGGGUUAAACAUACAUUCCAUACGUACCGCUACUUGACACUGUACUUUUCGUCGGGAAACAAGGGGAACAAGGGAGCAGUUGCCUAAUGGGUAUGUAUAGUACUGGCCAACCUAAAUUGUAUCUCACAAAUUUCUUAUUAUAGAAUACAAACGAUAGAUAAUGAUAGAAACGUAUAAAAUACCUAUUCUUAAGUCGAAUCAUAUAAUAAUGAACAAAAGUAUUGGCACAGCCAACUUCCUUUCUAAAAUCCUGUACAAAUUUGUAAAAAAAUGUGAUAUUUUAUUUAAUUCUCUAGAAAUAAAACAGCAUCUUAAUUAAAAAUUCGAAAAUUAUACAUAUGUGUAGAUCGAAUAUUUCAUAAGCGCAACGAAUGGAAUCAUUAUUUUAUAUAAGUAAUAUUUCUCAACCUUGUGAGGUGAAACUUAGGUAUUCUAAUUAACUUGAAAUCAUAAAUACGCGUUGAACUUGGCUCCGUUAAUGGAAACUAUGCAAAUAACGAUUUCUAAAUUUCAGUUCCCUUAAUUAACUCUUAUAAUUCUUAAAUAACCAAGUAAAAGUGAAAUUUAAUGACAAAAAUAAUAAUAUAUGUAUCUGUGACGUACACCAUACGACACGUAUCGUUUAAAACUGACGUUUUAAUAUGCAACGAUAAUUAUUUACUUCAGAGCGAAUUUCUAUUGAAAAAGCAACAACUAGAAAGAACGUCUAUAAUUCUUACUAAUAUUUCAAUGUAAUCGACGGAAUGCGAAUGAAAAUUGGAGCGGAACGAUCGUUAAAAGAAUAUCAAUUUAAUAUCGACCUAAAUUUCACACCAGCUUCGUUUCUGCAGCUGAUUUGUUUAUUGUUUAACUUGUCUAUUCCAUUCUUUGUCCUUAAGGCCAGUAUCACUAGGAAAAAAUUUAGAAAAUCAGUGACUGAUUGAAAAAUUAUUAGUAGCACUUUCAUCAACAAAGUUGUUUAUGAUAGUGUUAUAAUUGAAUUUCCCCAAACAUAAUGAAAUCGUUAAAUUUAGGUGGAGAAAGGAAGCGACAAAAAAUGUUAAAUAGACCUUUGAAAUUCCCACUUUCAUACCCACAGUAUUAGAAAACAAAAUUCAGCAAUAUAAAUUGUCUUCAAAAAUGCAAAUGUAAAAAGUUAUAUCAUGAUAAAUUAAAGUUGAAUCAAUUUCGUUGAAUGCGCAUGGAAGUAAAGAGGAGAAUAAGUGACAACCAGAGCGGAAUGUACGUAAUGGAGCAUACGAUGCGCUACAAAAAUGUAGGAGGGGCUUGGUUUUCGUAACAGAACGAAUAUGGAGCGAAAGUCAGUUUGGAUCUGUGCUCUAGCCUCGAACAUGUUCAACGUGAACGUGAACGUGAACUCUUUUAAGCCAGUGACACUGUAAGACAGCGUUCUAAAUAAACAUUAAUAAAUUAUAUACAAAUUUAGUAUAUAUACAUAGGAAUAAAUAUAUAUAUUUUGCUGUAACGUAAGAAUAAGUAUGUAAUUUCAUCAGAU